AUUGAACGCUGGCGGCAGGCCUAACACAUGCAAGUCGAGCGGAGCGGCGGACGGGGGAGUAAUGCCUAGGAAUCUGCCUGGUAGUGGGGGAUAACGUCCGGAAACGGGAGCUAAUACCGCAUACUAGACGAUGAGCCUAGGUCGGAUUAGCUAGUUGGUGGGGUAAAGGCGUACCAAGGCGACGAUCAGUAACGUGUUGGAGAGGAUGAUCAGUCACACUGGAACGGAGACACGGACCAUACUCCUACUGUAGGCAGCAGUGUGGAAGAUGGGACAAUGGGCGAAAGCCUGAUCCAGCCAUGCCGCGUGUGUGAAGAAUGUCUUCGGAUUGUAAGGCACUUUAAGUUGGGAGGCGUUACCAACAGAAUAAGCACCGGCUAACUUCGUGCCAGCAGCCGCGGUAAUAA
rnacentral:rRNA from 1 species